GCCGGGAUAGCUCAGUUAGUUAGAGCAUUCGCCUGAAGAGCGAAGGGUCGUCAGUGCGAAUCUGACUCCCGGCA
rnacentral:tRNA from 1 species